CUCCCGGAGCAGCCUUGGCCGYGGCUCCGGAGCGGGAUGAAUCACGGCUCGUAGCGGGAGGGAGGCAGGGAGGGAAAUGCAGCCUUGGUCCUCGUGGGAACGGCUGGGUCUGCCGGGCAGAGCGAGAUAACGCACGGCGCUAACCGAUCAGCACAGAAAAGCCCUCACACUUUCCAUUUGCACACUGAGGACCACAGCUGUCUCGGUAAGCGACCUAGAACAUUAAACCUAACUGAAAACCAGCAUGAAAUGGGAAAUAAAAAGCACACGUUAGGUGCACAGCUCUGCACACGCUGUGGGUGCCGCAUGGGCGCUCGUUGACCAGCUCCUCGCGGWGCCACCACCGUCCCGGGCGCUGGCCUUGUGCUGCCCAAUGGGUGCUCCUUUCUCCAAGGUCUCCCAGCGAUUUUGUCCUUUCGGCGCUGGGAUCAAUGGGCACGAUUGAAUUGGUCACGUUGCCACUUUUUUCGUAAUUUGCUAAGAUUUCACGAGAGGCCGCCGAAGGCCACAGAUGGACGUGUUGAGCAAGAGGGUUUGGGACAGCGUUAGCAAGUGAUGCUUUGUCGCUGGCGCACACAGCAUGGAAAUUUGGCAGCUUUUCCUCCC